ACACAGAGAGAGGUAGAGACGAAGCAGACCCCCUGCGAGGAGGCUGAUGUGGGACUCAUCGCAGGAGCCCGAAUUCAUGACCUGAACCAAAGGCACACACUCAACCGCUGAGCCACCCAGGUUUCCUCCACCCCUGCUCCAAUCUCUGGCUGCAGUAAGGUCCCCACGCCCCCUCCCCUCUCAGGAGAGCUGUGGCCUUGGGCAAAGGCUGCCCAAUUCUGAAGGUGUAGCAGCUGAAGGCUAUCGGGCACCUGUGCCCUCCUUGAGCGACGGCCUUCUGAAGGGAGUGACACCGGGACAAAGCCAACACGUUGGACCCAGAGAGAGCCGACUUACUGGUCACAAGACCACAGGUUUGAUGGAGAUGUUACUUCCUAUGGAAAGCUUACCCUACUUCCAAAGACUACCUUCAGACAUGCUUACAUGAAGUAUUUUGUGUCUAUUCCAUCUUUAUAUCCCCCAGGGCCUAGUACAAUGCCUAAUGUGGCCUUGAGAUUCAGACUGGAAUCCACUCACCAGGUCUGCAGCUCUCUGGGCUCCCAACCACACAUCCAGCUUUUUGGGCCUCCAGCUCACAGAUGGCAGAUUGUGGGACCUCUUAGCCUCGAAAACCAUGAUUCAGAUAAUUUUUCUGAUAGUAGAUUCCAGUGGAAGCUCCCAUCUCAGGGUGAUUUGAUGGCAGUUGAAAGGUGCCCCCAACCAAAAGAUUAUCGUGACAGUUGGUCCUUUCUAUGACAAAAUGAAGCUUAGAAAAAUUCAGUAAUUUACUCAAGGUCACACAGCCAUCUAGGAAAUGAUGGAUCCAGGAUUUGGAGGCAUGCAAUCUGACCCUUUGAACUGUAAGACGUUGUCCUAGACACUGGUAAUUAUAGAGAGAUCAGUUUAUACACUGUCCCUGCUCAAAAUAAUCUUGGAAAGGAUAGUUUCCUACCAAGGCAAAGCCUCAUUUUACUUACAAAUGAGAUAUUACUGAUGUCUUCAUCAAGCUUACUGUGAGGAUAAAUGAAAUAAUGUGCAAGUAAUGUAUAGACUACAUCAAUGGACAGGCUGAUGUUAUUGUUAAGGAAGCUGUCAUUUUCAGAGUUGUUAUUUUUGUGCUUUUGGUUGUGUGGGACAUUUCCAUGGGGAAGAUGGAAUUUGGGUUUUUGAUGAGCCAGAAUCAAUGAUGAGCUGUUUCUGGUUACCACUGGGACUGGGACUAGGAUGGUACAAAAUUUAAAUUGGUGCCGAGAAGUUCAGUAAUCAAGAUAAAAAACAUUUUAAUGGAAUGUUUUUCUAAAAUAAAAAUUAAGGUGGAAAAAGUCCAUGAUGAACAAAAUACAAAAAAUUUAAAUAAAACCCAAAUCAAGGGA